AUAGAACAGUAUACCUGGGACUCGACAAUCUGGAUUUUGUGCAGCAGCAAACACCGGCUUGCAAAAUAAACAGAUGGGCAGCUGGAGCCAUGAUGGACAAAGUCCAUUCACGUUCAGAAACGGGGUAAUGUAGCAAGAUGGUGUUGAGUGACAUGGCAGCCUCGACCCUUGCUUGAUAUAAAGGGCAAUGAUAAUAGAGACCCAGGUAGAUGAAACCAAUUAACAAAAUGAUGAGCCCGCCGGAGAUUAGCAGGGUUACGGUGGGGUCAUCUCCUUUCGUUUAUGGCGACGAAACAGGAGGUUGGCUUGCAGUAAGGGCUUUUAUGAUAGCAAUAAAGGAGCGUGACACACUCUUUAGACGCAUUAUGUCUUCAGAAAGGGAAAUGGUGCAGAAUAGCCAUGGGGGAGGGGAACAGAAUUUAUCGUGGCAGAUUCAGGGCUGAUAUAAGAUAACAUUUCAGGUCAAGCCAAACUGGAAGAUGGUGUGUUUGGCGUAAUGUUGGCUCAAGUUGAUUGAUGGCUAUGUCGUUCCCAUUCUCCGUUGGGUAUACGGUAAAUGGACACUUCUUGGUUUCAUGAGGUGUUGUAAACAAAAUCUUCCCUUAUUCCCUUAUGGGGGACACAAGAGCCCUUAUAGAGUCUUUUGUAGGUUCUCCAUCAGUAGGAGAAAAUAACAGAGGCCAACCAGAGAAUAUUGAGAAGCAAAACAGCUAGUAAGCCUGAUCUUUAUUGCAACAGGGUGCUCCCCUCACAUGCAGGAGAUAGGAGGAGGACCCAGAACCAAGGUGUGCCUGCCCUUAUUUAGAUGUUUUAAAUUCCCUGCCCUGGAGCUCAAGACCACUCCUCCAUACAUCAUACAUACACCACAGAAGGGGUGUAACCCAAGACCACCACCCCACAAACAUCAUACCCACAUCACAGAAAGGGCGGUCUACAACAGAAAUUUGAAUGUUGUUGUUUUUCCUGUCUGCCAGGUUAUCUGAUAACGCCUUAUCUGAUUGCCUUUCCUUUGAGAUGGUGAAUUCCUGAGACAAUGGGAAGGUUCCCUCACCCCCUCCCUCCUUGCAGAGAAAACAUUUGGUCAGUUUGGGAGUCAAAACGGUUUCAGGACUGUCUUCCUGUGCUGCUCCAGACAUGUGGU